UGGGGAAUUUUGGACAAUGGGCGAAAGCCUGAUCCAGCAAUGCCACGUGUGUGAAGAAGGCCUUCGGGUUGUAAAGCACUUUUGUCCGGAAAGAAAUCCUUGGCUCCAAUACAGUCGGGGGAUGACGGUACCGGAAGAAUAAGCACCGGCUAACUACGUGCCAGCAGCCGCGGUAAUACGUAGGGUGCAAGCGUUAAUCGGAAUUACUGGGCGUAAAGCGUGCGCAGGCGGUUUGCUAAGACCGAUGUGAAAUCCCCGGGCUCAACCUGGGAACUGCAUUGGUGACUGGCAGGCUAGAGUAUGGCAGAGGGGGGUAGAAUUCCACGUGUAGCAGUGAAAUGCGUAGAGAUGUGGAGGAAUACCGAUGGCGAAGGCAGCCCCCUGGGCCAAUACUGACGCUCAUGCACGAAAGCGUGGGGAGCAAACAGGAUUAGAUACCCUGGUAGUCCACGCCCUAAAACGAUGUCAACUAGUUGUUGGGGAUUCAUUUCCUUAGUAACGUAGCUAACGCGUGAAGUUGACCGCCUGGGGAGUACGGUCGCAAGAUUAAAACUUAAAGGAAUUGACGGGGUCAUAGCUGUUUCCU
rnacentral:rRNA from 1 species